GAUGAACGCUGGCGGCGUGCCUAAUACAUGCAAGUCGAGCGAAUGGAUUAAGAGCUUGCUCUUAUGAAGUUAGCGGCGGACGGGUGAGUAACACGUGGGUAACCUGCCCAUAAGACUGGGAUAACUCCGGGAAACCGGGGCUAAUACCGGAUAACAUUUUGAACCGCAUGGUUCGAAAUUGAAAGGCGGCUUCGGCUGUCACUUAUGGACGGACCCGCGUCGCAUUAGCUAGUUGGUGAGGUAACGGCUCACCAAGGCAACGAUGCGUAGCCGACCUGAGAGGGUGAUCGGCCACACUGGGACUGAGACACGGCCCAGACUCCUACGGGAGGCAGCGGUAGGGAAUCUUCCGCAAUGGACGAAAGUCUGACGGAGCAACGCCGCGUGAGUGAUGAAGGCUUUCGGGUCGUAAAACUCUGUUGUUAGGGAAGAACAAGUGCUAGUUGAAUAAGCUGACACCUUGACGGUACCUAACCAGAAAGCCACGGCUAACUACGUGCCAGCAGCCGCAGUAA
rnacentral:rRNA from 1 species